rnacentral:tRNA from 1 species
GCCAGAGUGUAGUGGUUUGAGUAUUAGACUAUGACUCUGAAGAGCAGGGUUCAAAUCCCUGCUCAGCCA